UACAGAGGGUGCAAGCGUUAAUCGGAAUUACUGGGCGUAAAGCGCGCGUAGGUGGUUUGUUAAGUUGGAUGUGAAAUCCCCGGGCUCAACCUGGGAACUGCAUUCAAAACUGACAAGCUAGAGUAUGGUAGAGGGUGGUGGAAUUUCCUGUGUAGCGGUGAAAUGCGUAGAUAUAGGAAGGAACACCAGUGGCGAAGGCGGCUCACUGGACCGGUACUGACGCUGAUGCGCGAAAGCGUGGGGAGCAAACGGG
rnacentral:rRNA from 1 species